GAUUCUUGAGCCAUCCAGGUAGAUAAAGAAUUCACCAACAAGGCUGAAAACAAUCAGACUGGCUCAGAGUUCUCCUCAGCCAAAGUCUACUCAGUCUGUGGGAGGCAACAGGGCAAAGGCUGCAAAGCGCCCGGGAAGGGAGCAUGAGACAUCAGGAUAUUUGCUCCAGCUAAGGUCGUUCAACGUCAAAGACAAUGAGCAGACACUCUCAAAGUUGCCUGAACUCCAGAACUCAGGGACUGGGUAAUAUCCAUGGGCCCUUCUCAGAAGACCUGCUCAGUCAGAAAGUUCAGGAGAUGAGAAAGCCGGCAGAAGGGCCUUCCUAGGACUUCAUGCUGGAUGCCAGAAAACCGUGGAGAGGCUCUAGAGAGGGCUGAGAUGAGGACGGAAGGCCCACCGCAGGGGCAGAGUGCAUAUGGGAAGAGACAGCGAUCCCACGCUCCCAGGGCCUCGGGGAGUAUGGUCACUGGGUUCUUCUAAGAAAAAAUCACUGGCAACAAAUCUAGCCAACCAUGAAAUGAAUAAAAAUGACCUAGGAAUGGAGAUGUCUUCAUUAAAGCCCUGGUGAGGUGGGGCAAGUCCACAAAAUACAGAGCUGAGACUAAACAUCUACGGGAAGUCAAGUUACAAAGUAAUUGUGCAGGCUAUCAGCUUUGGUAGCAUUCGAAUCAUACCUGACAAAACAUUGAAGGUGGGGGAAGGAGAAAGGGACUGUGGCUACAUCCAUUCCUGUGUCUUUCUUAGUAGAGAAUGGGAAAAUGAAAACACGUGGUUAAAACCGUAUGUCUCCACCCUUACCAUCUCUCACAAUUAUUUUCAGAACCUGGGAGGGAUCAUUGCAUUACUAAUAUCUCUUCUAAUUAGAAACAUGCACUGGAAAUCCAGCAGUCGUUUCAGUUUUGCUUUCUGUUGUUGUCUUCAUGUAAAAUUGAAUGGGUACCUAUGUUGGAAGAUGGCACAUAUCAAAUCAUCUCAUGUCAUCAUUUACAGCAAGCGACCUAUGCCAGCUUCCCUGCUCCCGUGCGCCGUGGAUGGGCUCACCAAAUGUCACCCAAGUAACUACAGAUUUUUUCUUUGGCUGCUCCAGGCUUCCUGGCUCCUGCAAGCCACCUGGAUGUGUAUGCGCAGGUGACAGAGGUUAUAAUGGCUGAGCUUCGGCUCAGAGGCCUGACACUCCCCAAACCUCCGUGAGUUAGCAGGAGACAACAUAAGGGUAAUCACCUCAGCACCUGGACCCAUUUAGCGUAAGUAAACUUAC
rnacentral:lncRNA from 10 species